rnacentral:rRNA from 1 species
AUCGAACGCUGGCGGCAUGCUUUACACAUGCAAGUCGAACGGUAACAGGCCGCAAGGUGCUGACGAGUGGCGAACGGGUGAGUAAUGCAUCGGAACGUGCCCAGUCGUGGGGGAUAACGCAGCGAAAGCUGCGCUAAUACCGCAUACGAUCUAUGGAUGAAAGCGGGGGACCGUAAGGCCUCGCGCGAUUGGAGCGGCCGAUGUCAGAUUAGGUAGUUGGUGGGGUAAAGGCUCACCAAGCCAACGAUCUGUAGCUGGUCUGAGAGGACGACCAGCCACACUGGGACGGAGACACGGCCCAGACUCCUACGGGAGGCAGCAGUGGGGAAUUUUGGACAAUGGGCGCAAGCCUGAUCCAGCAAUGCCGCGUGCAGGAAGAAGGCCUUCGGGUUGUAAACUGCUUUUGUACGGAACGAAACGGCUCUGGUUAAUACCUGGGGCUAAUGACGGUACCGUAAGAAUAAGCACCGGCUAACUACGUGCCAGCCGCCGCAGUAAUAC